ACCCUUGUCUUUUGCGCACUUGUUGUUUCCUGGGCGGGUUCGCUCGCCACCAGGACCACCAAAUAAACAUUUUUUAUGCAGUUGCAAUCAGCGUCAGUACAAACAAUGUAAAUCAUUUACAACUUUCAACAACGGAUUUCUUGGUUCUGGCAUCGAUGAAGAACGCAGCGAAAUGCGAUACGUAGUGUGAAUUGCAGAAUUCAGUGCAUCAUCGAAUCUUUGAACGCACAUUGCGCCCUUUGGUAUUCCAAAGGGCAUGCCUGUUCGAGCGUCAUCUGUACCCUCAAGCUUUGCUUGGUGUUGGGCGUUUUUGUCUUUGGUCGCCCAAAGACUCGCCUUAAAGUUAUUGGCAGCCGGCCUUUCUGGUUUCGCAGCGCAGCACAUUUUUGCGCUUGCCAUCAGCAAAACGGCAAGCCAUCAAGCCUCCUUCUCACGUUUGACCUCGGAUCAGGUAG
rnacentral:sRNA from 1 species